rnacentral:rRNA from 1 species
GCUUGUCUCAAAGAUUAAGCCAUGCAUGUCUAAGUACAAGCCUCAGUAAGGUGAAACCGCGAAUGGCUCAUUAAAUCACACCUAAUCUACUGGAAAGUUACUAGUUACUUGGAUAACUGAGGUAAUUCUUGAGCUAAUACAUGCGAAAAAUCUCGACUCACGGAGAGAUGCUUUUAUUAGAUCAAAACCAAACGGCUUUGCCCGACCUGCGGUGAAUCAUGAUAACUUCACGAAUCGUAUGGCCUUGUGCCGACGAUGUUUCCUUCGAAGGUGUGCCCUAUCAACUGUCGACUGUGAUAUAGACGCUCACAGUGGUUUUGACGGGUAACGGGGAAUCAGGGUUCGAUUCCGGAGAGGGAGCCUUAAAAACGGCUACCACAUCCAAGGAAGGCAGCAGG